rnacentral:rRNA from 1 species
UAUUAGAUACCCCGGUAGUCCUAGCCGUAAACGAUACUCGCUAGGUGUCGGCCACGGUGCGACCGUUGUCGGUGCCGUAGGGAAGCCGUGAAGCGAGCCACCUGGGAAGUACGGCCGCAAGGCUGAAACUUAAAGGAAUUGGCGGGGGAGCACCACAACGGGUGGAGCUUGCGGUUUAAUUGGAUUCAACGCCGGAAAUCUUACCGGGACCGACAGCAGGAUGAUGGCCAGAUUGACGAUCUUGCUUGACAAGCUGAGAGGAGGUGCAUGGCU